CAGGCAAAACCACACUCAAGCCUUUGCGCCUACGUCAUCUGAUACGGGGCACUGGCCGCAGCCGCGAGCUGCCAGGGUGCAGAAAGAAAUGACUGCAUCUCCCAUUUGGAAAGGUGUUCUGGUGAACCAAUU
rnacentral:ncRNA from 2 species